UAUCAGAGCUGAGGCAGAGGUAGAGUUCCCACAGCUUUCACGCCCCGACAUGCAGCUCUCUCAUUGGCCAGUGGAGUUUUCCUCAACUACAUUUAUUUUUGGAUAAGGAAUAAAGCAGGACAAAGAUGAGAGAGGGAGCAAUGGCAGACAGAACAGACACAAAGUUUAGACAGGAGCUGAAAAAUAGUUCUGCUUUCUGUUCUGGGGUAAGAAGGUUGUAAAUAAGCUGGAAAAUGAGGCUGAAAUAGUUUUUACACUGUUUCCCACCACUGAUGCAUGAUUGGUGAGCAGUGGCGACGUUUGACCUGAAGACCCUUUAAAGUGGAGGCAGGACAUCUUGAAGUUGUGGAGCAGUGGCUCGUCCUCCUGAGGCUGCUGGCUCUGUAAAGACCUGACUUCAACUCAACAGCUGAUUUCCUGCAGUCCGAACCAGUGUCAGACAAUUCUCAUCAAACUGUAAUUAUUUCAUUCACUGGCUUUACAGAGAUCUUUUUCAGGCAGUCAGCGCCGGAACCGACGGAGGUGUUGCCUUCGUGAUAAGGGUCUGAGGUGAGAGCAGCUGCUGUCAGGCUUCGUGUUCACAGAGGCUACGCAGAGGAGGGAAGAUAAGACAGACUUCGUGGUCCCUGUGGUAGAGUCUGAACCGGUCUGCAAGAGGGUCUCCAGCAGGCUUCAAAAACAGGUGGUCUGCAGCACGGGGGCUCCACAAGGGACAGUGCUCUCUCCUUUUCUUUUCACACUCUACACAUCCGACUUCCACCAUGACUCCAACAGCUGCCAAAUCCAGAAGUUCUCCGAUGACACAGCCAUCGUUGGACGCGUGUCAGAGGGAAACGAUCUGGAAGGUGAUCAAGGACUUUGUGGCCUGUUGUGAACUCAAUCACCUUCACAUCAAUGCCACCAAAAUGAAGGAGAUGGUGGUUGACUUCCGCAAAAAAGGCUUCUCAGUCUCCUAUAGUGGACAUUCAGGGACUGGACAUCGAGAGGGUGGAUGUGUACAAGUACAUGGGUGUUCACAUCAACAAUGAACUGGACUGGUCAGAUAACACAACGGUCCUGCACAAGAAGGGCCACAGUCGCCUCCACCUCCUGAGGAGACUGAGGUCCUUUGGUGUAUGUAGGCCACUACUCAAGACCUUCUAUGAGACUGUCGUUGCAUCAGCAACUUUCUAUGCUGUGGUCUGCUGGUGUGGAGGAAGCAAUGAAAGGGACAAAAAGAAACUGGACAAGCUGGUCAAGAGAGCUAGCUCUGUCCUGGGCUGUCCCCUGGACCCAGUGGACUCUGUAGGUGAGAGGAGGAUGGUGACCAAGCUGUCCAGGAUUUUUCCCCCACUCAUUUAGUCUCUCAUAGUUGAGUUAUAUCCAUGAUGAAAAAUUACAGGGCUCUCUGAUCUUUUUAAGUGGGAGAACUUGCACAAUUGGUGGCUUACUGAAUCAUUUUUGCCCCGCUGUAUGUCCUUAGAAUGCACAAAAUGCAGCAUACUUAGUGGUUCACUGUUUUGCUAAAGCAAGAAAGCCAUUCCCUGUUGGUGAAGAAUUGAUCUUCCCUCCACAUGAUGUUUGUCAUGAACUUCAAGGAUAGGCUGCCGUUAAAAGACUAAUGAAGAUGCCUCUAAUGGCUAGAAUGGUGGCUCAGCUAUAGUCAAAGACAUUCAUCUUUGGAGAGGACUAAUAUAACGCUAUGGUACAAUCUCCAUCUGAUCUGCAGAUGUUGACAACAAGGACGUAUUACUUGUUUAUGCAUAUCUUUGUCAGAACAAGCAAUGCAAGAUGAAAAUUACAUUUUCUCUCGUUACAUCAUAGGUGAGCUGUCAUCCUUUUUCCUACGUGCUUUAUACUCUUCAAAUAAACUUUUCACCUUU